UACGUAGGGUGCGAGCGUUGUUCGGAUUUACUGGGCGUAAAGGGCGCGUAGGCGGCUUUCCAAGUCACUUGUGAAAUCUCCGGGCUUAACUCGGAACGGUCAAGUGAUACUGUGAGGCUAGAGUGCGGAAGGGGCAACUGGAAUUCUCGGUGUAGCGGUGAAAUGCGUAGAUAUCGAGAGGAACACCUGCGGCGAAGGCGGGUUGCUGGGCCGACACUGACGCUGAUGCGCGAAAGCUAGGGGAGCGAACGGG
rnacentral:rRNA from 1 species